rnacentral:rRNA from 1 species
GGGUUAGUAGGUUGGUCGUGCCUUAAGGGGUAUGUACUGGUCUCACUGAUUCCUCCUUCCUGAUGAACCUUAAUGCCAUUUAUUUGGUGUUUUGGGGAAUUUGGACUGUUACUUUGAAAAAAUUAGAGUGUUUAAAGCAAGCUAACGCUUGAAUACAUUAGCAUGGAAUAAUGAAAUAGGACGUUCGAUCCUAUUUUGUUGGUUUCUAGGAUUGACGUA